UUCCAGACUCCUACGGGAGGCAGCAGUGGGGAAUAUUGCACAAUGGGGGAAACCCUGAUGCAGCAACGCCGCGUGAGUGAAGAAGUCAUUCGUGAUGUAAAGCUCUAUCAGCAGGGAAGAAAAUGACGGUACCUGAGUAAGAAGCCCCGGCUAACUACGUGCCAGCAGCCGCGGUAAUACGGAGGAUCCGAGCGUUAUCCGGAUUCAUUGGGUUUAAAGGGUGCGUAGGUUGUUUUAUAAGUUAGCGGUGAAAUACCGAUGCUCAACAUCGGGGCUGCCGCUAAUACUGUAGGACUAGAGAUCGGAUGCAGCAGGCGGAAUGUGUAGUGUAGCGGUGAAAUGCAUAGAUAUUACACAGAACACCGAUUGCGAAGGCAGCUUGCUAGGCCGGAUCUGACACUGAUGCACGAAAGCGUGGGGAUCGAACAGGAUUAGAUACCCCCGUAGAC
rnacentral:rRNA from 1 species